rnacentral:rRNA from 1 species
AACGAACGCUGGCGGCAGGCUUAACACAUGCAAGUCGAACGAGCUGGGACCUUCGGGUCCCGAUGCUAGUGGCGCACGGGUGAGUAACACGUGGGAACGUACCCUUUAGUACGGAAUAACCCAGGGAAACUUGGGAUAAUACCGUAUGACUCCUUCGGGAGAAAGAUUUAGCGCCAAAGGAUCGGCCCGCGUUUGAUUAGGUAGUUGGUGGGGUAAUGGCCUACCAAGACGACGAUCCAUAGCUGGUUUGAGAGGAUGAGCAGCCACACUGGGACUGAGACACGGCCCAGACUCCUACGGGAGGCAGCAGUGGGGAAUCUUAGACAAUGGGGGAAACCCUGAUCUAGCCAUGCCGCGUGAUCGAUGAAGGCCUUAGGGUUGUAAAGAUCUUUCAGUUGGGAAGAUAAUGACGGUACCAACAGAAGAAGCCCCGGCUAACUCCGUGCCAGCCGCCGCUGUAAUAC